CCGUUUCGAGAAAACCGGAGACCGCUGUUUUGAUACCUUUCGAGGUGGAGAUUCUGUGGUGGAAACCGGUUUAAUCGCAGUGGCUUGAACCGGGCAAAAGUCGUAACAAGGUUUCCGUAGGUGAACCUGCGGAAGGAUCA
rnacentral:rRNA from 1 species